rnacentral:tRNA from 1 species
GCGGGAGUUCCAGAGUGGUCAAAUGGGCAGGACUUAAGAUCCUGUGUGCUUAGUGCCUUCGCAGGUUCGAAUCCUGUCUCCCGCA